AUACGUAGGGGGCGAGCGUUAUCCGGAUUUAUUGGGCGUAAAGCGUGUGUAGGCGGUCUAUUAAGUUUAAGAUCAAAUCCCGGAGCUUAACUCCGGUCCGUCUUAAAAACUGGUAGACUUGAGUACAGUAGAGGCAAGUGGAAUUUCUAGUGUAGCGGUUAAAUGCGUAGAUAUUAGAAGGAACACCAGUGGCGAAGGCGGCUUGCUGGGCUGUUACUGACGCUGAGACACGAAAGCGUGGGGAGCAAAUAGGAUUAGAUACCCUAGUAGUCCACGCCGUAAACGAUGAGUACUAAGUGUCGGGCAACCGGUGCUGAAGUUAACACAUUAAGUACUCCGCCUGAGUAGUACGGUCGCAAGGCUGAA
rnacentral:rRNA from 1 species